CCUGCCCCUGCCCGUCACCCUUCUAGGGCCCCUCUGUGUGGCUGUGCCCUGCCCUCUCUCCACCCGGUGACCGAUGCUGGUGAAUCACAGCUGCCCCUCCAACCCUAACCCUGAAGCGGCCCUCACCAGCCCCCUAUCUGGGGACUCCUGCUUUCGGCACUCUCCACCUGAGCGUGGAUCAUGGUCUAUUUUAAAACCUCAGUCUUUGGACCUCCACACUCUGUGACACUGAAAGCUCCCUGAAGCAGAACUUUCUCCUUUUCUCCUCACGUCCACUUUCCAGGGCACAUUGAAUGUUAGCACAGAUCAUUCACAAAAGAAAAAAGAUCACUCACAAAGAAAUCAAGUGUGUCCCUAGGAGCCCAAUGGCUCCUCCCCUCCCCUUUCCUCCUCUUCCCUCCCAUCCUUCUGCUUCCUUCCUCUCUGGCUUAGUUCCUUCUCUAUUUCUAGGGUAAGUCACCAUGACCAAGGCAACUUCGAAAAGAAGGCAUUGUGGGGUUUACAGUUUCAGAGCGACGUGAGCUCUCAACGCUGAGCUUCCAGCUGCACCUGCCAUUCCAGCUCGCAACCCCUGACAUCCUGGACCCUAACCCUCUGAAACCGUAACCCCAAAAUAAACUUUUUCUUCUUCUUCUGUAA